GCCCACUUUGGUGUCCAGAGAGGCUCGUCCCUCUCCAGGGUGGCGGGGAACCACACUGCCUCGCUACAGGAACCUUAGGAUUUUUGCUACCAUUCUG